ACAUAAAAACGUAUAACAAAUCCAUGAGUGGAAGAUUGAGUCGAGUAAAAUGGUAGGAGAAUGAGAGGCUUCACGUGGGUUGUUGUUGAGGGCAAUGUCGUUGAUCGUUGUUGAUCGCACGGGCCGAAUUCGUUACCGAGGGAGAAAGGAGUCCAAAUUCCGGGACACGAUUUAAAAGAUUGUGUAAUCGAAACGAAACGGAGCGCACUCGUACUUUUCGGAAGUACAUAUACAUAUGCAUGCAGCGUGUGCGUAUCACAGUGUAUGUAGGCUGGUUACGAAGUUGAACGAAAUUAACGACGAUCGAGAAGUCAAUAAAGAAAUCCAUAGCCUCCGGCUGUCACUCUGUUGAUUUGGUCGAAUACUUUGACGAAGUGGUCUACCAAAAAGUGAACCGGUUUCUCGAAUGGCUUAUACGUAUGUAUAAUACGUAAUAUGGGGCGCGAUUACGAGAAGGUACAUAAUGACAUUGGGCGCGGUUCUCCGAUGGUCGUGGCUGCAGCCCUGGUUUAUUUGGUGAAAGUCGAAACUUUAGGUGGAUUAUAUAAUACAUGUGUUGUCCUUCAACUUCACAAAUAUUUUCUUUUCUCUUUGACGUCCUUGCAAGGGGGAAAAUGAUGGAUGUGAUAUAAUUAAUAUCGAAUCAAAUAAAAGUAUAAUUGAUUUGCAGAUUCAAGAGGAAAAUUGUACAUUACAAUUCUUUAAAAGCCUCAAGUUGAAAGUAGUAAUCAUGACGAUAUAGUCGGACAUCAACCGGUUUUAUCUACUCACUUCUCUCUGCGUCUGAUCAAUGUUGAUAUUAUUACUUACUUCUAGCGACCAGCCGCAUCAUAUGUUAUUAAUUAAACAAACAUAUUAUUUUUAUAGUAAAUAUCCUUUCUUAAUCGUGCAUAGAAAUAUAAGUAAUAACGUCGUAAUGAUGAACUUUUAAA